CCUACGGGGGGCAGCAGUGGGGAAUAUUGGGCAAUGGGCGAAAGCCUGACCCAGCUAUGCCGCGUGAAUGAUGAAGGCCUUAGGGUCGUAAAGUUCUUUUAGGUGGGAAGAUGAUGACGGUACCACCAGAAAAAGCUCCGGCUAACUUCGUGCCAGCAGCCGCGGUAAUACGAAGGGAGCAAGCGUUGCUCGGAUUUAUUGGGCGUAAAGGGUGUGUAGGCGGUUUUGUAAGUUAGAUGUGAAAGCCCAGGGCUCAACCCUGGAAUUGCAUUUAAGACUGCAUGACUUGAAGAUUGGAGAGGUAAGCAGAAUUCCCAGUGUAGAGGUGAAAUUCGUAGAUAUUGGGAAGAAUAUCAAUGGCGUAGGCAGCUUACUGGCCAAAUCUUGACGCUGAGGCACGAAAGCGUGGGGAGCAAACAGGAUUAGAUACCCUUGUAGUC
rnacentral:rRNA from 1 species